AGAGAUAUGGCUUGAAUGGCAAAAGACCUGCCUGGAAAACAUGAUGCCCUGAGUUCAAACCUCAGUGCCACAA
rnacentral:tRNA from 1 species